rnacentral:snRNA from 1 species
GGAUGUGAGGAUGAUCUGACUGCAACAUCUGUCACCCCAGUUAUCCCCAGGGUUGAUUCAGCUGAUCUGGCUGGCUUAGGCGGGUGUCCCCUUCCUCCCUCACCUCUCCAUAUUCGUCCCUCCCGAAGCUGCACGCUCAGUGGAAGAGGAUGGCCUUCCGCAAUAGAGACAGACGGACCUGUCUUCAGUCAGGGCAUAGGAGUAGCUGUGCUCCCCUGCUAGAACCUCCAAACAAGCUCUCAAGAAAAGUGAAUCAGAAACACACCAGAGGAACCAGGCACUGUUUCCCUUAUAGGAGAGAGAAGAGGGGAAAAGGAAGGACACUCAGAAGU